rnacentral:rRNA from 1 species
UACGGAGGGGGCUAGCGUUGCUCGGAUUGACUGGGCGUAAAGGGCGCGUAGGCGGUUCGUACAGUCAGACGUGAAAUUCCUGGGCUCAACCUGGGGGCUGCGUUUGAUACGUGCGGACUUGAGUGCGGAAGAGGGUCGUGGAAUUCCCAGUGUAGAGGUGAAAUUCGUAGAUAUUGGGAAGAACACCGGUGGCGAAGGCGGCGACCUGGUCCGAUACUGACGCUGAGGCGCGAAAGCGUGGGGAGCAAACAGG